UUUUCUUCGGUAGGCAGCAAGGCAAUACAAUAGGACAGCACAUGGAAGUCACGUCGUGGUUUCUCUCUUUCCAGCUGCCGGCCGACAAUGACUAUUAUUCAAUGGAAAUGGUGGGGGCCUCUGAUUUGUGAAGGACUUUGCAGACAUCUCUAUAUAAUGAAUAGUGACAAAGCAUUCCACUCUGGUCUCGGGUCGGCAGAAGUGAUUAGGGGUAGGAGAAAAGGAAGAUGCCUUGGAAAAUCCGGAGGAAAUGGGAGGUUUGGUAAGAAAAGCAGCUCAACUAAACUACAGAGUGCGAAUCUUUUCUUGGUUUUUCUUCGGCUUUUCUUUCCCAGUCCUCCCAUUCCUAUGGGUUUCUAGAGUUUCUUCCUUUCCUUUUUCUACUCUUACUACAACCCAUCACUUGUUCAUAAAAUUCUGUGCAGAAAAUUAAGGAAAAGAAAAAAAGAGAGAGAGCAGUGGAUGAUCAUGCAUAUUUGUAUAGCAAGGCAAGAGGAGGAAUGAGGGGGAAAGGGAGCUUAAUCUGCAGGAAAUUAGUGGGAUGGGUGACCGGGGAAGAUUUGAGGUAAAUCUUUGGUCAUUUUUUGUUUUUGAGGGACCAAAUCUUGGUCUUCCCUAGUCCUCCCAUCCCGGUGAUUUCCUGUGGAUUCUCCUCUUCCACAACUUAUUCUGCAGGCCCAGAUCUCUCGGUCUCGGAUUCAGAACUCAGUAAUUGCUUACUAAGUCAUGAGGCAGCAAGGCAAUACAAUAGGACAGCACAUGGAAGUCACGUCGUGGUUUCUCUCUUUCUUUACACCUGCCGGCCGACAAUGACUAUUAUUCAAUGGAAAUGGUGGGGGCCUCUGAUUUGUGAAGGACUUUGCAGACACCUCCAGAUAAUGAAUAUGACAAAGCAUUCCCCUCUGGCCUCGAGUCGGCAGAAGUGAUUAGGGGUAGGAGGAAAGGAAGAUGCCUUGGAAAAUCCAGAGGAAAUGUGAGGUUUGGCAAGAAAAGCAGCUAAAAUAAACUAGAAUAUGAAUAAUCCUUUUUGUUUUUUAUUCGGCUUUUCUUUCCCUGUCCUCCCAUUCCUAUGGGUUUCGAGAGUUUCUUCCUUUCCUUUUUCUACUCUUACUACACCCCAUCACUUGUUCAUAAAAUUCUGUGCAGGAAAGGAAAAGGAAAAGGAAAAAAAAGAGAGAGAGUAGUCGAUGAUCAUAUUUGUAUCGCAAGAAGAGGAAUGAGAGGGAAAGGGAGCUUAAUCUUCAGGAAAUUAGUGGGGUGGGAGACUGGGGAAGACUUGAGGUAAAUCUUUGGUCAUUUUAUGUUUUGAGCGAUCAAAUCUUGAUCCGCCUCAGUCUUCCAUCCCAGUGAUUUCCUGUGGAUUCUCCUCUUCCACAACUUAUUCUCAGGCUCAGAUCUCUCUCGGAUUCAGAACUUAGUAAUUGCUUACUAAGUCAUAAGGUAGUAGUAGUCUCUCUUUGCUCUGCCUUCUUGUCCCCUGAUCAAUUACUACUUAGUAGAGUAGUUUUAUGCUGCUUAGAUAUGUUUUAUGCAAAACUUUUUUAUCAUCAUAUUUCCUGGCCAUGGAUCUAGCCGAAAAGGGCUAUGGAGGCUUGGAUCUUGGGGAUACUCAUUCUAAAAUCUGGAAAUGUGUUCACCAUGCAACCAAACAUGAUCUUUUAUGUGACUUGCCACCAUGAGUAUAGGGAUAAUAAUGAAAAUUCUGCAUCCCAGAACAUUGGAAUCUCCUGGCUCAUUUUAACAUGGAAUAGAUAAGUUAGAUAUCGUAGCACCAAGAAAGAAAUUAUUAAAAAAAAAAACCAAUAUGUCCUAUCUUUUAUCUCCAAAAAUUUUUAGAAAGGCACUGUUCCAGAAUUGAUUUAUGAUAUCCUGUACCAGCCUACCAGGGACUAAUGGCUCCUCCUCUCCAUGAUUGAGGAAGUUGCAACUCUUACAUUCUACUGAUUCUAGAUGUGAUCUCUCAUCAGAUCAAAGGAGCACUACAAGGAUUGCAUAAAAUAACUGAAGCCCCAUAAAAGAUUUUGUCAACUUUAUUUUGGUGGUUUUUGUAUUUUUUUUGAAUGGUAUAGAAGCAUUACUGCUUGGUACUGGGUUUUUUUUUUGGUGGGUGUUUUGGGGGGGAGGGUCUCUAGGAUCAGUUGACCUGCUAUCUAUAGGCCUAUCUAGCCAAUUUGCAAAACAGCAGCGAUAUCAAACAGUAAACCUGAGCUUGAUGCUCAAAUGGGCAUAUGAAUCCAGUUAAUCCGCAAUCCUUUCUCAUCUGUUUUUGAAGACAAUAAAAUAAACUAUUUAACACAGUCAAUGAAUUUGGCUUUGGUUUUGAUGGAAGACAGAAAUGGAAAUCUAAGCCAAGAUUAACGACAAUAACACGUUUUGGUUCUCAACAAUUAGAUUACCACAAAACGACCCAAUCUGGAAUGAAAUUAGUUAACUCAAAUAAAUUUUUUCUUGCAUUGUGUUCCAACGUUCACAUAUAGUUUAUCAAGAUGUGAAACACUUGGAUUGGCCUGGCCUGGAAGAUCAAGAUCCUGUAAGAUGGAGCUGCCUUCUAGGCUUGCAUCCGGAGGCUAAAACUUGGCCAAGAAAAAUAAUAAUAUGACCACGAAAUUUUUUUAACAUCCUCAUAUACUAUUACCAAAUUCUGAUGCAACCCUAGGGAACCAAAACCUGCAUCAAAGAGAUACACAGGAAUGGUUACCUAGUUUAAGGAUUUCAAGGUAACAUGGAUUUCAAAUAGAAUAUUCUUUACUGCGAAGUUCUUGGUCUGGGAGUAUAUGCAUUCUUCUUAAGUGAGUCCAUCAUAAAGCAUUUCUGUUUUCUUUUAGAAACGAAUUUUAACAAGGUGUUUCAUUUGCAUUAGCACAUCACAAAGGACAUUUUGCAGCAAGUAUCUUGAAACUAUUCUACCAAAAGAAAAUAAUAUAAUAUUAACUUUUGUACCUAUUCUAAAUGCACGCCGCUUUCUUUUCCUGGAAAGUGCAUAAUAAAGUAACCAUAUGUAUUCUUUUUAACAUGCACGAGUCUGCAUAGGUAGCUGCUGGUAAAUUAAAUACACUGCAAGGCUUCAACAAUUGAAAAUCGGGGAAGAUUAAUCUCUUGGAGAGCACAAAGCUGUGCUGAUCAUGCUCUGAGCAAUGCAUUGCUGUUUAUGUAGUUGCAUUCUCUAGAAAACUAUGAUCAACGAGAACAGACGCCAGAUUAUGGGAUUUACCACGAAAGAGGAGUAGAAUUUCACCGUAAAGCAGAGCAGUGAAGGAAGAGUAGUAGAAUUUCACCAUGAACAGAGUAUAAAAGCUUUAAAAAAGUGUUUCUAGACCCAAAAGCAUUUACGUCAUUUUUCGUGAUCACAUUUUCCUAUUAUCUUUUUCCCUCACAUACAUCAAAUCGCUACAGUAAUUUUUCCAUGAAAAAUCAUGAAAAAUGCAAUCCAAACACACUAUUAAUUAC